rnacentral:rRNA from 1 species
GCAUGCAGUUGAGCGAAGCUUUUUGGUAGUUUACUACUAGAAAUGACUGAGCGGCGAACGGGUGAGUAACGCGUGAGCAAUCUACCUUAGUUACUGGGAUAGCCCGAGGAAACUCGGAUUAAUACCGGAUAUUCUUAUUUUUUCACAUGAAGUUUUAAGGAAAGGUCAGCCGAACUAAGAUGAGCUCGCGUUCUAUCAGCUAGUUGGUGGGGUAAAAGCCUACCAAGGCUACGACGGAUAGCUGGUCUGAGAGGACGAUCAGCCACACUGGGGCUGAGACACGGCCCAGACUCCUACGGGAGGCUGCAGCAGGGAAUAUUGUGCAAUGAGCGAAAGCUUGACACAGCGACACCGCGUGUGGGAUGACGGUUCUAGGAUUGUAAACCACUUUCAGGAGGGAAGAAAAUGACGGUACCUCCACAAGAAGACCCGGCCAACUAUGUGCCAGCAGCCGCGGUAAUACAUAGGGGUCAAGCGUUGUCCGGAUUUAUUGGGCGUAAAGAGCUCGUAGGCGGUUCAACAAGUCGGUCGUAAAAGUUUAGGGCUCAACCCUAAAAUGUCGAUCGAUACUGUUGUGACUAGGAUACGGUAGAGGUGAAUGGAAUUCCGAGUGUAGCGGUGAAAUGCGUAGAUAUUCGGAGGAACACCAAUUGCGAAGGCAGUUCACUGGACCGUGAUCGGCGCUGAGGAGCGAAAGCUAGGGGAGCAAACAGGAUUAGAUACCCUGGUAGUCCUAGCUGUAAACGAUGGAUACUAGAUGUAGGAACUGGAUUGACGGUUUCUGUAUCGUAGCUAACGCGUUAAGUAUCCCGCCUGGGGAGUACGGUCGCAAGACUAAAACUCAAAGGAAUUGACGGGACCCCGCACAAGCGGCGGAGCAUGCGGCUUAAUUCGAUGAUACCCGUAGAACCUUACCUGGACUUGACAUAUAGGGAAAAACUGGAGAAAUCCAGUGUGCGUAAGCGCCCUAUACAGGUGGUGCAUGGCUGUCGUCAGCUC